UACGAAGGGGGCUAGCGUUGUUCGGAAUUACUGGGCGUAAAGGGCGCGUAGGCGGCCCUCCAAGUCAGAUGUGAAAGCCCCGGGCUUAACCUGGGAACUGCCUUUGAUACUGGUGAGCUUGAGUUCGGGAGAGGUGAGUGGAACUGCGAGUGUAGAGGUGAAAUUCGUAGAUAUUCGCAAGAACACCAGUGGCGAAGGCGGCUCACUGGCCCGAUACUGACGCUGAGGUGCGAAAGCGUGGGGAGCAAACAGG
rnacentral:rRNA from 1 species